UACGGAGGGUGCAAGCAUUAAUCGGAUUUAUUGGGCGUAAAGGGCGCGUAGGCGGGCCUGCAAGUCAGAUGUGAAAUCCCGGGGCUCAACCCCGGAACAGCAUUUGAAACUACAAGUCUUGAGGGUAGGCGGAGAAAACGGAAUUCCACAAGUAGCGGUGAAAUGCGUAGAUAUGUGGAAGAACAUCGGUGGCGAAGGCGGUUUUCUAGCUUAUUUCCUGACGCUGAGGCGCGAAAGCAAGGGGAUCAAACAGG
rnacentral:rRNA from 1 species